rnacentral:rRNA from 1 species
CACGUAGGGGGCAAGCGUUGUCCGGAUUUAUUGGGCGUAAAGAGCUCGUAGGUGGUUCGGUAAGUCGGGUGUUAAACCCCCAGGCUCAACCUGGGGACGCCACUCGAUACUGCUGUGACUAGAGUCCGGUAGGGGAGCGUGGAAUUCCUGGUGUAGCGGUGAAAUGCGCAGAUAUCAGGAGGAACACCGGUGGCGAAGGCGGUUCUCUGGGCAUGAUCUGACGCUGAGGAGCGAAAGUGUGGGGAGCGAACAGG